CUCAAAGUUAUUCAGAUUGAAGUAAUGAUCGGAAUCAUGAUGCCAAUAAUAACCGUGAACGUGAUUAUGAUCGAUUAAAGCAACAAUUUCAUACAUCAAUGCAUGAGUUGGUGAUGUUGAGGAGACAAUACGGAGAAACAGUGCAAAGAUACGACCAGGCAAGGAAAAAAUUAGAAUAUUAUUGCGGUUAAAAUCAAGUUGUGAUUAUUAAAAUUGAACAUGCUGCAAUCAUUCCGUGCUAAACUAGCAAAACUAGCAAAAUUUUGAAUAGAUCUGAACAGGUACAUAUUU